rnacentral:rRNA from 1 species
GGGUCAGUAGGUUGGUCGUGCCACCGGUACGUACUGGUCUCACUGAUUCCUCCUUCCUGAAGAACCGUAAUGCCAUUAAUUUGGUGUUGCGGGGAAACAGGACUGUCACUUUGAAAAAAUUAGAGUGUUUAAAGCAAGCUAACGCUUGAAUACAUUAGCAUGGAAUAAUGAAAUAGGGCGAUCGAUCCUAUUUUGUUGGUUUCUAGGAUUGACGUA